UGGUGGAGUGACUUGUCUGGUUAAUUCCGUUAACGAACGAGACCUUAACCUGCUAAAUAGUCGCGAGAAUCUUUUGAUUCUCGAUGGACUUCUUAGAGGGACUUUGUGCGUCUAGCACAAGGAAGUUUGAGGCAAUAACA
rnacentral:rRNA from 1 species